rnacentral:tmRNA from 1 species
GGGGGUGAAAGGGCUCGACUUAGGUAUGUCGGGUAAGAGCAGCAUGUCGCGGAUGUAAGGUGAGCCGCGUUAACAAUCCUUGCACAAUAUAAACGCAAAACCAAUAACAAUGGUUAACCGCUUGGCUGUGAACCCAGUAAUGGGUUUUGUGCCAGCCGGUUGUUUAGUUUCGCUUCACUAAGAAGCGAACCUCUCUUCAGGCAGCCUGUGGUCUGAUCGAGAGCCGCUAACAGGCUGGUUCGGGUAAAUUUGCCUUUGGGGCCCGGAUAAGACUAAAAAAGGCUGCGGCCUGCGCAAUCCUGUCUAGCGGAGUGCUCAGGAAUAAGCGAAAUAGAUAGACUAAACAUGUAGCGGCUUUUAUCGGUCUGCUUAGGGACGGGGGUUCAAUUCCCCCCACCUCCAA